rnacentral:rRNA from 1 species
AAACGUAGGGGGCGAGCGUUGUCCGGAAUUACUGGGCGUAAAGGGCUCGUAGGCGGUAUUCCAAGUCAGUUGUGAAAACCGACGGCUUAACCGGAGGAUUGCAGUUGAUACUGGGGUACUUGAGGCAAGGAGAGGAAGGUGGAAUUCCCGGUGUAGCGGUGAUAUGCGUAGAGAUCGGGAGGAACACCAGUGGCGAAGGCGGCCUUCUGGCCUUGACCUGACGCUGAGGAGCGAAAGCCAGGGUAGCAAACGGGAUUAGAUACCCCGGUAGUCCUGGCCAUAAACGAUGGACACUAGGUGUAGGUGGUGUCAAAUCCAUCUGUGCCGCAGCUAACGCAUUAAGUGUCCCGCCUGGGGAGUACGGUCGCAAGGCUGAA